CGGACGCCAUAUUGUCACGUGACAUACUUCGUAUAAAUUCUACGCUUUAAGGUUAAAAUUAGAGUUCCCAAGAGAUCGUCGAUGAGAUAAGUCGAAUGUUAUGUGCAGUGCUCAACAUCUUUUGGUAGCAGAACCCAACAAAACAAUGGUUAUAUGGAAAUGUACCAACUUUCUCUCAUCAACCAUCCAAGAGCAGAGAUUGAGGUUUACUGACCACUGCUGGAGAAGUAAAGAAGAAUUUCUACUGUACGACUGAGAGUAGACCAUCAAAUGAACUGAGGGGUGUGGAGCAUUAAGUGUGACACUCUAAUGGAAUGUAGAGGUGAAGUGGCGCAGAGGGAGAGCAGAAAUGGCUGGAAUAAAAUGGAAUAAACAGAAUGCCUUAAGAGGAAAUGGCAAAAAUGAAAUUAGAUGAGCGCUUGUCCUGGCCCAGUUUCAACCUAGUAAAAAAAAAAUCAAAAAGACAAAAAGUUGAUUCAAACCAGGGACUGACGGUUGAAUUGUUCCAAGUUGCAAGAUGAUCUGUUGAUUUCCUCAAUUACUGGAGAAAGGAGAGUUAUCAUGAAGAACAAGAUUAAAAACAAAAUGAUGAAAGCAUUAUACAAAAGAAGAGUACAAUCUUCAAAGCACUUUUAAUUAAAUUUUUAAACUGUUCCAUAUUUUCUGAGUUUGUCAACAAUUUUAUUUGUUAAAUACAUUU